UGGGGAAUCUUCCGCAAUGGACGAAAGUCUGACGGAGCAACGCCGCGUGAGUGAAGAAGGUUUUCGGAUCGUAAAACUCUGUCUUUUGGGGCGAACGUGAGUAUGGUGAACAAUCAUAGUCAGUGACGGUACCAAAGGAGGAAGCCACGGCUAACUACGUGCCAGCAGCCGCGGUAAUACGUAGGUGGCAAGCGUUGUCCGGAAUUAUUGGGCGUAAAGAGCGCGUAGGCGGGAUAGUCAGUCUGUUGUAAAGUGCGGGGCUCAACCCCGUGAUGGCAAUGGAAACAGCUAUUCUUGAGUGCAGGAGAGGAAGUGGAAUUCCCAGUGUAGCGGUGAAAUGCGUAGAUAUUGGGAGGAACACCAGUGGCGAAGGCGACUUUCUGGACUGUGUCUGACGCAUGAGGCGCGAAAGCCAGGGGAGCGAACGGGAUUAGAUACCCCGGUAGUCCUGGCCGUAAACGAUGGGUACUAGGUGUGGGAGGUAUCGACCCCUUUCCGUGCCGGAGUUAACGCAAUAAGUACCCCGCCUGGGGGAGUACGGUCGCAAGACUGAAACUUAAAUGAAUUGACGGGGGUCAUAGCUGUUUUCCUG
rnacentral:rRNA from 1 species